GGCUUGCUGGUCUAGUGGUAUGAUUCUCGCUUUGGGUGCGAGAGGUCGCGUGUUCGAUUCACGUGCAAGCCC
rnacentral:tRNA from 1 species